rnacentral:lncRNA from 1 species
AUUUUGCCUAUCUCAAUCAUUUUGCCUAUCCCCUGUACAGUUGGAAACCAGUUUAUCGAAAUUCGAUUAUUAGACGGCCAUCAGAUAGUAUUGUUCAACCUUGAGGAUUAAAGCGGCAGUGCAGAUCGACGUAUUAGGGGUGCACAAACUGAAUUGAGAACGAUUGUCCACUUAAGAAGCUCUAGGGAGUGAAUUUACCUCAAACACAGAAAUCUAUGAAGUUGCUCAUUAAGGCAGCUAUCUGGAUUGUGUUUCCCUCACACGCUUCUCCAACAAAACUAAAAUACUAGUUUGAUUGCUUAGUCGACGAUGUUCGGUACAUCUUAAAACUGCUUCUGGCGAUAAGAAAACCUGCAGGAUCAGAACUAACGGGAAUGAAAAAGAUCCACAACAAGCAAAAUCUGAACCGGUCAGAUUUCUACUAAUGGACUAAGGAAAAAAUGGUGUCUCCUCAGCGCAACCAAGCAUACAAUCCGUGAGGGCGAAUCGAGAAGGGAGGAAAAAUCAGUGCCAUGUUAUUUACUUCAUUUUCGAUAAAGCUGUAAGUGAUUUUUGUUGUUUCAAUAGAAAAUAAAAUAAAUUGUUCAUAAUGCAGUGGUCAUGCGUUUCAUUAUCAUUAGAAUGAAUAAUAUAUAAUUCAAAUAAUA